ensembl:lncRNA
CAAUUAUUAAUGAAUCUACAGAAUUACCCAUGAGGCAUGCAGACUAGAUUAUAGGUCUUAUAUUUAUCAAUGUUGAGUUCCUAGAAUAAUUUCCUAUUUGGUUUUUCUUACAGUUUUUCUAUGAUCAGGUUUUAACAUUGCCUGAUGCUCUACACAAUUCCUGGUACCUAUCAAGUAUUUAUUAAUACUUCUAGUUCAAUUAAUGCAUUAAACAAUUGAUGAUGGAAUGCAAAGGUUGACAGCUGAGACAAUGAAGACUGCAGUCACAGAAUGCUACCACGAGAUGUCAGUGUAAAUAGGAGAGCAAAGCAUUUCAAGAAUAUUCUGCAUCAUCUUCCAAGGCUCUAGGGAAAACACAUCUGGAAGACUCUAAAGCCAGAAAACAAAGCGUUAGAAAUGAAUUUACCUCCCUGUGCAUGAAUAUAUUCAGAACAACUCCUGGUUUAUAAAGGAAAGUAUCCAUGCUGACCUUGCGACCCUAAGAAUAAACCCUUGGAAUUUCACUUCGGGACAAUUCCGCCUACAGACAACGUGGGCCACACAGCUCCUGACUCCCAAGGAACUCUGCAUUCAGAUGUGUGGAAAAGAAGUCACCCUCACACACAGAAUAUGGAUGGAGUCUUAAGCCAGCAUUAGGCCUUUCAGGUGGGAAUAUGUAUAUUAU